rnacentral:lncRNA from 1 species
UUCAAGUUAUACAUAGGACUAAAAGAGCACAUGGCUUACCUAGGAGGUAAAGAUGAGAACAGCUUCUGCUUGCUGGGCACCGCCUUGAAAAGAAAUACUUUUGAUCGGCUUGGUGAGUAUUGACCUUCGGAUUACAUCAUUCGUGACUUUUUUUUUUUUUAAAUGUUAAACCUCUAUUGGAAAAAUACAUAUGUUGCUUUUAAAAUGGAAGCUUUCAGCAGCAUUUAGAACCAUCCAUAUGUUAUCGGUUUAGGCCAAAUGAACCAGCCAAUUUGAGAUCUGAGUGUUGGAAAGCUUAGGUGUAUAGUCACUCGAAAUGUCUGUCGCAUCACAGCUUGUAGAAGUUAUUUCCAAACGUCCCUUCACUUACAUGAUGCUUCUCCGAGAAGAGGUCCUGUUCUCCUAACUGGGGCCAGCCAUCCUUUCCUGAUGCUCCUGUGUGUUAUGCCUGCCUCAGAAGCAUCAUGUUCCCUCUGUACUGACUGCAUCUUUUUUUAAAAAAAAAAGUUAAAAAAAGAUUUAUAUUGGAGUAUAGUCGGCCUGCCGUGUUGUGUUAGUUUCAGGUGGACAGCAAAGUGAUUCGGUUAUACACACACAAAUAUCCAUGCUUUUUCAGAUUCGUUUCCCAUAUAGGUUAUGACUGGAUGUUGAGUCGUGUUUGCUGUGCUAUGCAGUAGGUCCCCGCUGAUUAUCUCUUGUAUAUAUGGUCGUGUGCGUAUGUGAAUCCCAAACACCGAAUUUAUCCCUCCCCAACCCCCAACUGCAUCCUUUUUGGCGUCCUUCGGUUCCCAAGUACCUGGGCCCCCUCCUGGAGGGCACAGGACCUGCGGGUUCAGGGCCACGUGGAGGACCCCACCCGGCAGCUCUGAUGUCCUGUCUUGGAGAGUUGCACUGAGCGGGCCACUUCCAACCUGCCAUCAGGGUAGAGAAGGCUUGCUGGGUUGGGUGAUGGACUGGUUUCUCUGGGAAGAAACGCCAAAAAUGAUAUGGAUGGUACAGAGCUCUACUUGGGCUCUGUGCUUGAAGUCCAAGAAGAACAGGAGAAGUUUUCUCAUGCUCUUUCUGGAGUCCUCGUCAUUUCCUGGGAACCUCCAUAUGCCAAGGGAGCGGCCCUAGAAAAGGCAAACAAAGACAAAAAAAAAAGUUGUCUAUGACAGCUUUAUUCUCACCGAGAAUAAAGGCACGCAGCCUUCCCAUCGGAGUGCCCUCUUGAGAGGCUGCAUGCAUGUCUGCGCGAUUGUUUUCAUAAACUCAGAAUUUAGCUGCCAGCACUCAGGGCUCCCAUCGUGUGUAACCCGGUCUCUGCCCAGGAUCCGCCACGUUGUUCUCUCUCCCACUUGUCAAUAAAAGCCAAAGAUUUCUCUCACAGAAGCUCCGCAAUAAUUCCUGGGUCUGCAAGUCAUGUGCCCAAGGAAACUUUUUAAGUGGGGAAAAGGGUAGAAAUCCAGUUCAAACUCUUACAAGUUUUGGCGGAGGAGUCUAUGGACGAACAAAAGCUCCCUGGCAUCUUCUGGCAGACAUGUGAGAGAAGGCAGUGAUUGGAAUUAAUUUUUAGUGAGGGCUGCAUAUUUGAUAAUUGGUCUGAUUCACGCUAUUAUAUUCCUCUUCCUUCACCCACAGCAAAACAAGCUUAAUUUGAUUCAUCCCCUUAGGAAGAAAAAAAAAAAAAAA